rnacentral:rRNA from 1 species
AGAGCAAACGGCGGAUGCCUUGGCUCUCAGAGGCGAUGAAGGACGUGACAAGCUGCGAAAAGCUGCGGGGAGGAGCAAAUAUCCGUUAUAUCCGCAGAUAUCCGAAUGGGGCAACCUUCCAGGUUGAAGACCUGGAGUCCCGGUGCAAACCGGGAAGCGAACCCGGAGAACUGAAACAUCUAAGUACCCGGAGGAAGAGAAAACAAAAGUGAUUCCCGGAGUAGUGGCGAUCGAAAUGGGAAUAGCCCAAACCGGCAAUGUUUAGGCAUGGCCGGGGUUGUAGGACCGGCACCAUUAUUAUAAAUAUCAACGGAAACUACCUGGAAAGGCAGGGCAUAGAAGGUGAUACCCCUGUACCGGAAAGUAUUUAUAAUAUAGCUGGUAUCCUGAGUAGGGCGGGACACGUGAAAUCCUGUCUGAAUCCGCGGGGACCAUCCCGCAAGGCUAAAUACUCCUGAGAGACCGAUAGUGGACUAGUACCGUGAGGGAAAGGUGAAAAGCACCCCGAACAGGGGAGUGAAAUAGUACCUGAAACCGUUUGCUUACAAAUCGGUCGGAGCCUUGUCGCAAGACAGGGUGACGGCGUGCCUUUUGCAUAAUGAGCCUACGAGUUAUCCUUACUAGCGAGGUUAAGACUUUAAGAGUCGGAGCCGAAGCGAAAGCGAGUCUGAACAGGGCGUAUAGUUAGUAGGGGUAGACGCGAAACUUUGUGAUCUAUCCUUGGUCAGGCUGAAGUUCCGGUAACACGGGAUGGAGGGCCGAACCAGUAAACGUUGAAAAGUUUUUGGAUGAACUGAGGAUAGGGGUGAAAGGCCAAUCAAACUGAGAAAUAGCUCGUACUCCCCGAAAUGCAUUUAGGUGCAGCCUUGAGUCGAGUUUUGCAGAGGUAGAGCUACUGAUAAGGCUAGAGGGCUUCAUCGCCUAUCAAACCUUGAUAAACUCCGAAUGCUGCAAAAUAAUGACCAGGAGUGAGGCUAUGGGUGCUAAGAUCCAUGGCCAAAAGGGAAAUAGCCCAGACCAUCAGCUAAGGUCCCCAAGUAUAUGUUAAGUUGGAAAAACGAAGUGCGACUGCCCAGACAGCUAGGAUGUUGGCUUGGAAGCAGCCAUUCAUUUAAAGAGUGCGUAACAGCUCACUAGUCGAGCGGUUGUGCGUGGAUAAUAAUCGGGCAUAAACAUAUCACCGAAGCUGUGGAUUCGUCGUAAGACGGAUGGUAGGGGAGCAUUCCAGUCCUGCGUUGAAGGUGUACUGUAAAGUAUGCUGGAGCGUCUGGAAAAGAAAAUGUAGGCAUAAGUAACGAUAAGGCAGGUGAGAAACCUGCCCACCGAAAGACUAAGGUUUCCUGAUCAACGUUAAUCGGAUCAGGGUUAGUCGGGACCUAAGGGUAAGCCGAAAGGCGAUCUCGAUGGACAAUUGGUAAAUAUUCCAAUACCACCGCAUGUUGCGAUGGGGUGACGAAGUAGUGAAAGAACCGCCUGGUGACGGACAUCCAGGUUAAAGGGUGUAGUUAUAUACAUGGGUUAACAGCUUGUGUAUGAUGAACCUGAUAGUACCGUGAGGCUUCGGCUGAGCGGAUAGUGUUCCUAAUCAGACUUCCAAGAAAAUCCUCUAAGCUUCAGACAUGUGGUGCCCGUACCACAAACCGACACAGGUAGUCGAGGAGAGAAUCCUAAGGUGCUCGAGUGAUCCGUGGCUAAGGAACUAGGCAAAUUGAACCUGUAACUUCGGGAUAAAGGUUCCCCUGUUUAUCAAUGGGGGCGCAGAGAAAUGGCCCUGGCGACUGUUUAACAAAAACACAAGGCUUUGCGAAAUUGAAAGAUGAAGUAUAAGGCCUGACACCUGCCCGGUGCCGGAAGGUUAAGAGGGGGAGUCAUUCUCAGCAAUGGGAAGAAGCUCUGAAUCGAAGCCCCGGUAAACGGCGGCCGUAACUAUAACGGUCCUAAGGUAGCGAAAUUCCUUGUCGGGUAAGUUCCGACCUGCACGAAUGGUGUAACGAUCUGGGCACUGUCUCAGCCACGAGCUCGGUGAAAUUGUAGUUCCGGUGAAGAUGCCGGAUACCCGCAACGGGACGGAAAGACCCCGUGAACCUUUACUAUAGCUUAACAUUGAUUUUGGGUAAGUGAUGUGUAGGAUAGGUCGGAGACUGUGAACCGGUUUCGCCAGGAAUCGGGGAGUCAACGUUGAAAUACGACCCUUCAUUUACCUGGAAUCUAAUCCGUCAACCGACGGAGACAUUGUUUGGUGGGUAGUUUGACUGGGGUGGUCGCCUCCAAAAGAGUAACGGAGGCUCCU